rnacentral:rRNA from 1 species
GGGANGNUAGCNGUUACGAGCGCACCCCCUAUCCUUAUUUGCCAGCGCGUAAUGGCGGGGACUAUAAGGAGACUGCCGGUUCAUAAACCGGAGGAAGGCGGGGACGAUGUCAAGUCAUCAUGGCCCUUAUGGGUAGGGCUACACACGUGCUACAAUGGGUGGUACAGAGGGUCGCUAAAGCGCGAGCUGGAGCCAAACCCUUAAAACCAUUCGUAGUCCGGAUUGGAGUCUGCAACUCGACUCCAUGAAGUCGGAAUCGCUAGUAAUCGCGAAUCAGAAUGUCGCGGUGAAUACGUUCUCGGGCCUUGUACACACCGCCCGUCACAUCAUGGAAGUGGGUUGCACCAGAAGUGAUUAGUCCAACCUUCGGGAAGACGAUCACCACGGUGUGAUUCAUGACUGGGAUGAAGUCGUAACAAGGUAGCCCUAGGGGAACCUGGGGCUGGAUCACCUCCUU